rnacentral:lncRNA from 1 species
UUUUUGUUGGAUUCCUCGGAGCAACGAGACCAGUUUUCAUUGGACUCCUCGGAGCAACGGUCCAAGACGCCAAAAGUUUCUGCAAGGGACAGGUUUCUCCAAUCUUUGCAUCGAAGCAACAGUAGCCCACCGAUACAGUCGUUCUUUCCAGAACAAGGGCAUGGUGAUAAUGGCCGCCGCGAAAAUGCCGUGAAUGAAUCUUCGAGUCGUCCUCAUAGCUUGAGGAGAGCCGUUUCCAGCGAUAUCUAUCAAUCUGUGUAAAUUUGUGUAUAGAAAUACGCAGCAAAGAUUGUAAAUUCUUGACGAGCGAGGGAGAGAUACUCACAGGAUUAAAAGUUUCGUCUGGAUUGAUCAAGGAAUCGUGUUCGUACACCAUUCCUGAUAAUUGGAUACUUGAUUCAUGCCCGAUGAGCCUGUGCAAGACGAGCACUUUGAUCGUUCUCGAAAAAGUAAAACACUCCACUUGCUUUCCUUUUGCAAGCACGUAGAAGAAAUGUGCCUAGAGUAGCGAAGAUAAGCCUGAUCGGACAGAAAACGAAUUUGUGACCCGGAAGAGAGAAAAAAACUAGAUUCCCACCUUUGAAUUUCAUCUCCAUUCGACGAAGCGAGCACAAAGAAGUCCCUGUAGAAUUCAACAGUGUCAAAAGCUUUGAAAGGAAAACAAAAAGCACCUACUUUUCUUUUUCUCUCUCUCUCUGUUUUUUUUUUUUCUUUUCUUUU